rnacentral:rRNA from 1 species
GACGAACGCUGGCGGCGUGCUUAACACAUGCAAGUCGAGCGAUGAAGUUCCUUCGGGAAUGGAUUAGCGGCGGACGGGUGAGUAACACGUGGGUAACCUGCCUCGUAGAGGGGAAUAGCCUUCCGAAAGGAAGAUUAAUACCGCAUAAGAUUGUAGUACCGCAUGGUAUAGCAAUUAAAGGAGUAAUCCGCUAUGAGAUGGACCCGCGUCGCAUUAGCUAGUUGGUGAGGUAACGGCUCACCAAGGCGACGAUGCGUAGCCGACCUGAGAGGGGGAUCGGCCACAUUGGGACUGAGACACGGCCCAGACUCCUACGGGAGGCAGCAGUGGGGAAUAUUGCACAAUGGGGGAAACCCUGAUGCAGCAACGCCGCGUGAGUGUUGACGGUCUUCGGAUUGUAAAGCUCUGUCUUCAGGGACGAUAAUGACGGUACCUGAGGAGGAAGCCACGGCUAACUACGUGCCAGCCGCCGCCGUAA